rnacentral:rRNA from 1 species
CCCUUAGAUGUCCUGGGCAGCACGCGUGCUACAAUGAUGCAUUCAACGAGUCUUGCCUUAACCGAAAGGUUCGGGUAAACUUUUGAAAUUGCAUCUUGUCGGGGCUUGAUCAUUGUAAUUUUUGAUCACAAACAAGGAAUUCCUUGUAAAUGUGAGUCAUCAACUUGCAUUGAUUACGUCCCUGCCCUUUGUACACACCGCCCGUCGCUCCUACCGAUUGAAUGUUCCGGUGAGCUCUUCGGACUGCGCGGUCUGCAGUUUCUGCGUUCCGUGCGGAAAGUUGCGCAAACCUUAACAUUUAGAGGAAGGAGAAGUCGUAACA